rnacentral:rRNA from 1 species
UAUUAAAAUUGAUGAAUUUAUUUCAUAAAUAUAAGCUUAUAAAUAGUUAUUAUUAAUAAUAGUGUUAUAAUUUAUUUAUAUAAAUAUAUUAUUUAUUAAAAUUUAAUUUUUUAUUAAAAUAUUUAUUUAAAUUUUAAAAAUAAAAUAAUAAUAGUAAAAUUAGUAUAAUUAUUUGUUUAAAUAAAAAUAAUUGAAAAGUUUUUAUAAAGAAUUCGGCAAAAUAAAUGUUCGCCUGUUUAACAAAAACAUGUCUUUUUGAUUAAUUAAAAAGUCUAAUCUGCCCACUGAAAUUUAAAUGGCCGCAGUAUUCUAACUGUGCAAAGGUAGCAUAAUCAUUAGUCUUUUAAUUGAAGGCUGGAAUGAAUGAUUGGACGAAAUAUUAACUGUUUCAUGAAAAUUUAAAUUAAAAUUUUAUUUUUUAGUCAAAAAGCUAAAAUUUAUUUAAAAGACGAGAAGACCCUAUAAAUCUUUAUAUUUAAUUUAUUAUAAAUUUGAAAAAUUUUAUUUUAAUAAUGUAAAAUAUUUUAUUGGGGUGAUAUUAAAAUUUAAUGAACUUUUAAUUUAUAUAAACAUUAAUUUAUGAAUAAUUGAUCUUUUAUUAAAGAUUAAAAAAUUAAGUUACUUUAGGGAUAACAGCGUAAUUUUUUUGGAAAGUUCAUAUUGAUAAAAAAGAUUGCGACCUCGAUGUUGGAUUAAGGUAUAAUUUUUAAUGCAGAAGUUAAAAUUUUAAGUCUGUUCGACUUUUAAAUCCUUACAUGAUCUGAGUUCAAACCGGUGUAAGCCAGGUUGGUUUCUAUCUUUAAAUUUUUAAAAUAUUUUAGUACGAAAGGACCUAAUAUUUAAUAAAUUAUUUAAAUAUGAAUAUAAAUAAUUU